rnacentral:rRNA from 1 species
UACGUAGGUGGCAAGCGUUGUCCGGAAUUAUUGGGCGUAAAGGGUGCGUAGGCGGUUCGCUACGUUUGGUGUGAAAUCCUGGGGCUUAACCUCAGAAUUGCACUGAAUACUGGUGUGCUAGAGGACUGGAGAGGAGAUUGGAAUUCACGGUGUAGCAGUGAAAUGCGUAGAUAUCGUGAGGAAGACCAGUGGCGAAGGCAGCCCCCUGGGAUGUGACUGACGCUCAUGUACGAAAGCGUGGGGAGCAAACAGG